rnacentral:misc_RNA from 1 species
UUAUUAAAUUAAAUAUAUAGUAAAUAUUAAAAUUAUAAUGCCAUAGAAAAUUAAAAUGAUCAUUUUAAUAUUAUAUUUGAAUAAAAAUAAAAUUAAUAGAAUGCGUUUUAAUGAUAAUUUUCACUCAUAUAUGUAAUUUAAUUGUGGUGUAACAAAAUAAAAAUAAAUAAUGAAAUAAAUAUUAAUUACAUAUAAAAAAUUAUAUAAAUUCAAUUUAUAGUGCAUAUAUAAUUUAUUUUUAUGAUUUUUUUAUACUUUUGUGCCUUGCCUCACUUGUGCACGAUCCGUGCGCCUGGGGUCCAGGACCCUUUGGCAUCUUGGUGCACCUCCUUGAGCCUUUAAUAACUACGAAUGUGGGAAACUAGAUUGAUUUGAUUCAUUUUUCAUUCAUUCUAAUAAUAGAUUUUAAUUGAACGGUCUCUUUAAUGAUCUCUGGAUGAUAGCUUUAAUUUGCCAUUGGACCACACUUUGGUUUUUCUGAAUUAGAUAGGAUAUCAAUGAGGCUUGCCAGUAUACAUUGUUUUGCCUUCAUUUCUUAUCACAUAGGCAUCAUAUCCUUUUAACUAGGUGGUGGAUGUGAGAUUCAUGUUACAUAAUUAGAUAUAUGUAAUAUGCUAACAAAUUUUUCUGAAGAUAGCUGACUAGAAGGAUAAGAGGUCAUCUCAUUCGCACAAAUCAACGUUCCAGUGUCCUGGACUUUGAACUAGCUUACCUGAUCUUGAUUACAUUUCACCGCUUGCUCUAUGAUGUUAUAAGAGUGAAUGUUAAAUUGGUAGCUAAUGAUGGUUCUGAUAAAAAUAAAUCACGGAAUUUUUUCUCAUUUGAAAUGGUUGUAUACUCACAUAUUGAAUGUUCAAAAUUAUUGGCCGUAGCCAUAUGCAGAGACAAUAUUAUUGCUGAAUGUUGAGUUGAUUGUUGGAAAUGUGAUUUUUACCAACGUUGAUGCUUGAUAGCAUUUUUAUUUAUGUUUCCUGCAGGCUCUUGAUAUGAUAAGGGGGAAA